rnacentral:rRNA from 1 species
GACGAACGCUGGCGGCGUGCUUAACACAUGCAAGUCGAACGGAAAGGCCCCCAUCUUGGUGGGGGUGCUCGAGUGGCGAACGGGUGAGUAACACGUGGGUGAUCUGCCCUGUACUUCGGGAUAAGCUUGGGAAACUGGGUCUAAUACCGGAUAGGACCAUGGUUUAGUGUCUCAUGGUGGAAAGAUUAUUGUUUUGGUGCAGGAUGAGCUCGCGGCCUAUCAGCUUGUUGGUGGGGUAAUGGCCUACCAAGGCGUCGACGGGGAGCCGGCCUGAGAGGGUGGACGGCCACAUUGGGACUGAGAUACGGCCCAGACUCCUACGGGAGGCAGCAGUGGGGAAUAUUGCACAAUGGGCGCAAGCCUGAUGCAGCGACGCCGCGUGGGGGAUGACGGCCUUCGGGUGGUAAACUCCUUUCGUUAGGGACGAAGCCGCACUUUUUUUGGGUGUGGUGACGGUACCUUUGUGAAGAAGCACCGGCUAACUACGUG